UACGGGGGGAGCAAGCGUUGUUCGGAUUUACUGGGCGUAAAGGGCGCGUAGGCGGUCGUGACAAGUCACUUGUGAAAUCUCCGGGCUUAACUCGGAACGGUCAAGUGAUACUGUCGGACUAGAGUACAGAAGGGGCAACUGGAAUUCUCGGUGUAGCGGUGAAAUGCGUAGAUAUCGAGAGGAACACCUGCGGCGAAGGCGGGUUGCUGGGCUGAUACUGACGCUGAGGCGCGAAAGCUAGGGGAGCGAACGGG
rnacentral:rRNA from 1 species